AUGAGAUACCAGAAGCAGGGCUAUUUGGGCACGAGAAUAAUUCUCAAAUGCAAGGGAACAGUUAAAGAAUAAAAGCAUUAAGACUCUACUGAUUCUGUAUUAACAAUCACCACUGUAAAAUGCAUGAAACGGCAUACUCAAAGCACCAAAUGCAUCAAUGUAGUAUAGUUUGAUAAUCUAAGAUUGAUUGGAUCAUUUUAAAAGAAUAAUAAUACAAAUGUAUUUACUAAUUAAAAAGAAAUCACAGACAAUUAGAUUAAACAAGCAUCACAACUUGUGCAACAAUGUGUAGAGAAUCCUCAAAUAAGAUACUUGCUCAAACUCAAAGAUUAUAUAUUUCUAGUAACCUAUAUGACAGACACCAUAAUUUCUACAUCAUUUAUUGAAUAUGCCAUGUCAGAAACUCCUAUCUGUUCCCGUGUGGAGCUUAUUAAACAAUCAAAGGACAAAAUUUACAAUUUCUGCCAGGUGGAGUACAGCAUAAGGGAUGAUAGUCAUUAUACAGAUCAAGUUAGAUCAUGACACGAAGAGAGCUCGUAAAUAGAAAAAAAACUGAAAGACAAAAUGAUGUGACCUUAUCAAUAAAAAAUGGGACAAUGGUCACCCUUUUAAUAUAAAUGAGCAGGUACACUAGCUAUAAUGUGAUCUGUUUCAAUUUAUCAGAAAGUUCAAUUAAGAUAGUAAAUACCCGACCACUGAUUCAAAGAAACUUUAUCGUGUUCUGAAGUAUGUGUUUCAUCAACAAGCAAUAUUCUUGGCAUAUGAUUUCCACAAAUAUCAUCCCAAAGACCCAUUUAUAUCCAACAAAUUGGUUGGUGUUCCAGGUAUGAGGAGUUUGGCAAUUGCAGCCAAUCCCUGACACAAGAUACUAUAACCGAAUACCAGAAGUAAAAUAGCAUCCACAUCUUCAUCCUCCAAGAAUAUUUAUUAAUAAAGAUGCUUAUCCUACAGAUAAAAAGUGUUGCAAAUGAGAGACACAGGAAGCCAAUCAAGUCUUCAGGCAGCUAACUGAUGGUUUAGAUUUGAAAGAAAGUGAUGUAACUCUGAAUGUUUAACAUAUUAGUGACUCAAAUAAUCCAAAACUGCAAGAACUAAAAAAAUA
rnacentral:misc_RNA from 1 species